GGCAUUGAUCCGCAAAUAUCCGAAUGGGGCAACCCACCCAGCAAUGGGUAUCAUCCAU
rnacentral:rRNA from 1 species